rnacentral:rRNA from 1 species
AUUGAACGCUGGCGGCAGGCCGAACACAUGCAAGUCGAGCGGAGCGGCGGACGGGUGAGUAAUGCCUAGGAAUCUGCCUGGUAGUGGGGGAUAACGUCCGGAAACGGGCGCUAAUAACGCAUACUAUCAGAUGAGCCCAGAUGGGAUUAGCUAGUAGGUGGGGUAACGGCUCACUUAGGCGACGAUCCCUAGCUGGUCUGAGAGGAUGACCAGCCACACUGGAACUGAGACACGGUCCAGACUCCUACGGUAGGCAGCAGUGGGGAAUAUUGCACAAUGGACGCAAGCCUGAUGCAGCCAUGCCGCGUGUGUGAAGAAGGCCUUCGGGUUGUAAAGCACUUUCAGCGGGGAGGCGUUACCCGCAGAAGAAGCACCGGCUAACUCCGUGCCAGCAGCCGCGGUAAUUC